rnacentral:rRNA from 1 species
GACGAAGGUGGCGAGCGUUGUUCGGAAUCACUGGGCAUAAAGCGCACGUAGGCGGUGCCGUAAGUCGGAUGUGAAAUCCCUCGGCCUAACCGAGGAACUGCGUCCGAUACUGCGGUGCUUGAGGAUCAGAGGGGUGCAUGGAAUUUCCGGUGGAGCGGUGAAAUGCGUUGAUAUCGGAAGGAACUCCGGUGGCGAAAGCGGACCGCUGGCCCUCUUAUGACGCUGAGGCGCGAAAGCCAGGGGAGCGAACGGG